AGUCUGUAAGUCUCGUCACGUGACUCGCGAGAUUUUACGAUAAUUUUUACUUCCUCGCACAUGGUCAUGGUGAAUGUGUAUUGAGUUCAGCAUGUUUCUGGUUUACACACAGCUUUCAGGGGGAAAUUAAAUAGUUUUACAAAGCCGGAGGGUUGUCCGACUUACGAUGUAUGAAUUUCAUGUCAUAAGAAAUUGGGUGCGAGCGUCCACCAGGAAUAUUUCGAUGAAAUACAGAUUUCUCUUGAAUCCGAGAUGUUAUUCAUCAGCUGAUUAUAGAGGAGGAGUUUUGUCAUUGAUGGGAACCAACGUCAUAUUUAUGAUAUUGUGGCUGCAUCACUUUUGUUUUGAGGUACAAGAGAACCAGUAACACAGAUAAAAGAUGCAGUUCCUAAGAGAUCCAAAGUCAGCAGCACCUAAGACCAAACUGACUUUGAAUUAUCAGCAUCCAAAACAAUGCAAAUCAAAUACAGGUUUUGUCUGUACAUCUGGCAAUCUUGGGGCAAUACUGGAUGGUUUUAACUAAGAACUGAUCCAGCAUGAAGACCAGCCAUGUGCCUCACCUGUCAUGACAUUAUUAAAGUACUUUGUGACAGUGGGAUGAUGGAAUAUUAAAGAAUGGACAUGGCUCUAUAUUACUGCAUCAGAGAUCAAUCGAGGUUUACUUAUAAAUCAAAGAAAAACACUUAAACAGUCAAGUAUCAUUUGAAGCUACAUGUGUCACCGCUUUAACAAUAUGCCUGCUUAUAUAACCAAGAAAGCACAGUGACCAGUUGUACCUAUGAUGUCGGACAAGAUCCCGAAAAAACUUCCAGUACACUCAUCACUACCUGCAAAGAAUUGAAAAUUCUAAAUGACUUGUAUCAACAUUUUUGUACUUCAUCUGGCUUGUAUUUUCAAUACUCAUUAUCUUUUAGCUUCCAGUGCAAACAAAAUUUCAUAAGUACUAACUUGCAGGUGUUAAAUAUUUGAAACAGUUUGUUUGUCCCAAAGGAAAUUCUGCCAAUUAGCAGUGGCAUGAGCAGUUGAUUGAUGUCACAGUUCCACCGGCAAAGUAUUUGUAGCUGAAUGGUGCCAUGUAAAACACUUUUCACAAGAACAUGGAAAACAUCCUAGAAGUGAGGAUCUACAAGAAAUUAAGAGAAUACUUUCUUGAAUAUUUUCAAUGUUAUAAAAUGCUUGUGUACAUCCUUUAUAUAUAAAACUAAUUACGCAUGUAACUACCAAAUAUACAAAUUAAACUUCAAUCCUUAAA